rnacentral:rRNA from 1 species
AUGCAGCCGCGCGGUGGCGGUGACCGGGUGGCCGUGAGGAAGGGGCCGUGGACGGCGGAGGAGGACGAGGUGCUGCACCAGCACGUCCGCGAGCACGGCCCCCGCGAGUGGAGCUCCAUUCGAUCCAAAGGCCUCCUCCCCCGCACUGGCAAGUCCUGCCGCCUCCGCUGGGUCAACAAGCUUCGCCCCGACCCAAGACGUACGGGGUGCAAGUUCUCGUCGGAGGAGGAGCGGGUGGUGAUCGACCUGCAGGCGCAGUUCGGGAACAAGUGGGCGAGGAUCGCGACGUACCUGCCCGGCAGGACGGACAACGACGUCAAAAACUUCUGGAGCACGCGGCAGAAGCGCCUCGCCAGGAUCCUAAGGGCGCCGCUGCCCCGCAGGAGGUCAGCCUCAGCCGCCGCCAAACACAGCGGCGGCGUCGGCGGCGUAGGCGCUGCUUCAUCUUCUGCGGCGUCGAACUCUCAUGAGGCGGCAGCGGCACGCGCUUCUGAGGAUCAGUAUCGCUGCUUCGGCAUGAUCCCCUUCCGACAGACGACAAUGCACCAGCACCACAUCGGCGAGAGCAGCCAAGAACCACCACUCGCGGCUAACCAAUAUGCAGGCGCGCCAUUCUCCGGAGCCGAAUCCGUCCUGCCGUUUCCCCUCGGGUUGGCCGCCAUGGACGUCGCCGCGGGAUGCAGCAGCUCGUACGGCGGCGCUUCGGAAGUUCACCAACCGCUGCCCUUCCUCUACGCCGCUGACCCUGCGCCCAUGGUUGAUUCGGGAGGUCUCGUCUUCCACGGGAACGCACUGAUCGACGGCGGCGUCGGCGUGGCUUACCUGGAGCCGAAAUCGGGACCGGAGCAUUACCUGGAGCCGAAACCGGAGCCGGUGCAUUACUUGGAGCCGAAACCGGAGCAGCAGACGCCGCCCCGGUUCUUUGGGCUGGAGGAGGAAGUCGACGACUACGGCCUCGUCGCGCCGGUGCGGCGGGGCACGGCCGACGUGCUGUUCGGUGACCUGCCCCCGGAGAUGAUCGACUUCUUCGAGCUCCCGCCGCCUCCUUCGCCGUCAACUCGGCUGUAG